CAGGUGGGACUACCCGCUGAACUUAAGCAUAUCAAUAAGCGGAGG
rnacentral:rRNA from 1 species